GGCUCAGUAGCUCAGUGGUAGAGCAGGGGAUUCAUAAGCCCUUGGUCACAGGUUCAAAUCCCGUCUGAGCCA
rnacentral:tRNA from 4 species